rnacentral:tRNA from 1 species
AGAAAUUUAGGCUAACAUUAAACCAAGAGCCUUCAAAGCUCAAAAUAUGGACUAUACCCAUAAUUUCUG